CAUACCUAUUCGAAGGGAUAGGGUCGGUUUGGCCGGAUUUCACACAGGUGUUGCAUGGCUGUCGUCAGCUCGUGUCGUGAGAUGUUGGGUUAAGUCCCGCAACGAGCGCAGCCCUCAUCCUUAGUUACCAUCAGGUUAUGCUGGGGACUUUAAGGAAACUGCCAGUGAUAAACUGGAGGAAGGUGGGGAUGAUGUCAAGUCAUCAUGGCCCUUAUGGAGUGGGCUACACACGUGCUACAAUGGUGAUUACAAUGGGCUGCAAGGUCGCAAGGCUGAGCUAAUCCUAAAAAAUCAUCUCAGUUCGGAUUGUUCUCUGCAACUCGAGAGCAUGAAGUUGGAAUCGCUAGUAAUCGUGGAUCAGCAUGCUACGGUGAAUACGUUCUCGGGUCUUGUACACACUGCCCGUCACGCCAUGGGAAUUGGUUUCACUCGAAGCU
rnacentral:rRNA from 2 species